rnacentral:rRNA from 1 species
GACGAGGGAUCCUAGCGUUGUUCGGAAUCAUUGGGCGUAAAGAGUAUGUAGGCGGCCUUGUAAGUCAGUUGUGAAAGCCCCGGGCUCAACCCGGGAAGUGCAAUUGAUACUGCUUGGCUUGAAUGUGGAAGAGGGCAGUAGAAUUCCUGGUGUAGUGGUGAAAUACGUAGAUAUCAGGAGGAAUACCGGUGGCGAAGGCGGCUGCCUGGUCCUAACAUUGACGCUGAGAUACGAAAGCGUGGGUAGCAAACAGG